AUUGAACGCUGGCGGAAUGCUUUACACAUGCAAGUCGAACGGUAGAGGGGCAACCCUUGAGAGUGGCGAACGGGUGAGUAAUGUAUCGGAACAUGCCCAGUCGUGGGGGAUAACGUAGCGAAAGUUACGCUAAUACCGCAUACGAUCUAUGGAUGAAAGCGGGGGAUCGCAAGACCUCGCGCGAUUGGAGUGGCCGAUAUCAGAUUAGGUAGUUGGUGGGGUAAAGGCCUACCAAGCCGACGAUCUGUAGCUGGUCUGAGAGGACGACCAGCCAAACGGGGACUGAGACACGGCCCAGACUCCAGCGGGAGGCAGCAGUGGGGAAUUUUGAACAAUGGGCGCAAGCCUGAUCCAGCCAUUCCGCGUGAAGGAAGAAGGCCUUCGGGUUGUAAACUGCUUUUGUACGGAACGAAACGCGCUGAGCUAAUACCUCGGCGUAAUGACGGUACCGUAAGAAUAAGCACCGGCUAACUACGUGCCAGCAGCCGCAGUAACAC
rnacentral:rRNA from 1 species